GUCAUCAUGGCCCUUACGAGUAGGGCUACACACGUGCUACAAUGGCGUAUACAAAGAGAAGCGACCUCGCGAGAGCAAGCGGACCUCAUAAAGUGCGUCGUAGUCCGGAUUGGAGUCUGCAACUCGACUCCAUGAAGUCGGAAUCGCUAGUAAUCGUGGAUCAGAAUGCCACGGUGAAUACGUUCCCGGGCCUUGUACACACCGCCCGUCACACCAUGGGAGUGGGUUGCAAAAGAAGUAGGUAGCUUAACCUUCGGGAGGGCGCUUACCACUUUGUGAUUCAUGACUGGGGUGAAGUCGUAACAAGGUAACCGUAGGGGAACCUGCGGUUGGAUCACCUCCUUACCUAAAGA
rnacentral:rRNA from 1 species